rnacentral:rRNA from 1 species
AUUGAACGCUGGCGGCAGGCCUAACACAUGCAAGUCGAACGAGUGGCGGACGGGUGAGUAAUGUCUGGGAAACUGCCUGAUGGAGGGGGCUAACUUCUGGAAACGGUAGCUAAUCCCGCAUACCAUCGUAUGUCCCCAGAUGGGAUUAGCUUGUAGGUGAGGUAACGGCUCACCUAGGCGACGAUCCCUAGCUGGUCUGAGAUGAGGACCAGCCACACUGGAACUGAGACACGGUCCAGACUCCUACGGGAGGCAGCAGUGGGGAAUAUUGCACAAUGGGCGCAAGCCUGAUGCAGCCAGGCCGCGUGGAUGAAGAAGGCCGUCGGGUUGUAAAGUACUUUCAGCGGGGAGGCGGUACCCGCAGAAGAAGAACCGGCUAACUCCGUGCCAGCAGCCGCGGUAAUAC